rnacentral:rRNA from 1 species
ACAAGCGGUGAAUGCUUUGGGGUGGGGUGACUGCGUACCUUUUGUAUAAUGGGUCAGCGACUUAUAUUCUGUAGCAAGGUUAACCGAAUAGGGGAGCCGGAGGGAAACCGAGUCUUAAUUGGGCGUUAAGUUGCAGGGUAUAGACCCGAAACCCGGUGAUCUAGCCAUGGGCAGGUUGAAGGUUGGGUAACACUAACUGGAGGACCGAACCGACUAAUGUUGAAAAAUUAGCGGAUGACCUGUGGCUGGGGGUGAAAGGCCAAUCAAACCGGGAGAUAGCUGGUUCUCCCCGAAAGCUAUUUAGGUAGCGCCUCGUGAAUUCAUCUCCGGGGGUAGAGCACUGUUUCGGCUAGGGGGCCAUCCCGGCUUACCAACCCGAUGCAAACUGCGAAUACCGGAGAAUGUUAUCACGGGAGACACACGGCGGGUGCUAACGUCCGUCGUGAAGAGGGAAACAACCCAGACCGCCAGCUAAGGUCCCAAAGUCAUGGUUAAGUGGGAAACGAUGUGGGAAGGCCCAGACAGCCAGGAUGUUGGCUUAGAAGCAGCCAUCAUUUAAAGAAAGCGUAAUAGCUCACUGGUCGAGUCGGCCUGCGCGGAAGAUGUAACGGGGCUAAACCAUGCACCGAAGCUGCGGCAGCGAACGUAUCACCCAAGACAACUUUACGGAGUUGACGAUUGACGGAGCGAAGCGACGUCAAAGCGUUCAUUAAAGUCGAGUUGGCUUAGGGAUACGUUCGUUGGGUAGGGGAGCGUUCUGUAAGCCUGUGAAGGUGUGUCGUGAGGCAUGCUGGAGGUAUCAGAAGUGCGAAUGCUGACAUAAGUAACGAUAAAGCGGGUGAAAAGCCCGCUCGCCGGAAGACCAAGGGUUCCUGUCCAACGUUAAUCGGGGCAGGGUGAGUCGACCCCUAAGGCGAGGCCGAAAGGCGUAGUCGAUGGGAAACGGGUUAAUAUUCCCGUACUUGGUGUUACUGCGAAGGGGGGACGGAGAAGGCUAUGUUGGCCGGGCGACGGUUGUCCCGGUUUAAGCGUGUAGGUGUGUGUUCCAGGUAAAUCCGGUU